UACGUAGGUGGCAAGCGUUGUCCGGAAUUAUUGGGCGUAAAGCGGGUGUAGGUGGACUGGUAAGUCAGAUGUGAAAGCCCUGGGCUCAACCCGGGAAGUGCAUUUGAUACUGUCAGUCUUGAGUGCAGAAGAGGAGAGUGGAAUUCCACGUGUAGCGGUGAGAUGCGUAGAGAUGUGGAGGAACACCAGUGGCGAAGGCGACUCUCUGGUCUGUAACUGACGCUGAGGAGCGAAAGCGUGGGGAGCGAACAGG
rnacentral:misc_RNA from 1 species